UACAGAGGUCUCAAGCGUUUGUUCGGAUUUAUUGGGCGUAAAGGGCGCGUAGGCGGCGGGGUAAGUCGGGUGUGAAAUCUCAGGGCUCAACCCUGAAACUGCACUUGAUACUGCUCUGCUUGAGGACUGGAGAGGAGACUGGAAUUCACGGUGUAGCAGUGAAAUGCGUAGAUAUCUGGAGGAACACCGGUGGCCGAAGGCGGCAUCCUGGACCCGACGACGUGACGCUGAGGGGCGGAAAGCCAAGGGGAGGCAAACGGG
rnacentral:rRNA from 1 species